AGGAAUGCACUGACACCCACCAUGACUAUGUAAACGAUUGUUUACAGGGCGAAUCAAGCCGAAUGCUCCGCAAAAAAUUGAUAGAGAUGGAAUUCACUGCACAAAUAGUUUACAAAAUGUUUAGAUUUAGGCUAUAAAAAUGGAUUUUAUAAAAGAAAAUGGCACUUAAUUUGAUCAAUGGGAUACUCAGGAAGAGAAAUAAGAGCAAGAUAUCAGAAUGCUGAUUUACAGCAUGCUUUAUUCACUCCACUUUAUAAGUAGUAAAGACGGGCCAGGUCAGGGCCACGGCCAGGUCAAGGCCACAGCAUGGCCAGGUCAGGGACAUGGCACGGCCAGGUCAAGCCAACGUCAAGGCCAGGUCAGGGCCACGGCAUGGCCAUCUGCAUUGCUUGCUGUUUGGUGUUUCAGACUGGGUUUCUGUACAGCACUUUGUGACAUCAGCUGAUGUAAAAAAGGGCUUUAUAAAUACAUUUGAUUGAGUGAUUGAUUGAUUAUGCAAAGAUUGAAGUCUAAAUUGGUGUCUUUUGGGGGUGGGUAUUGUGUGUUAAGGUUAGUAUGCAUGCUCUAUUGAUAUGAGUGGAACAGGUGGAUAUAGUACUUUGUUUGAGUGUGUAUUGAUAGGGACAAAGUAGUAAAAUGGUGGUUAAUCACUAGCUAGUGUAUGUCCUACAGACUAAUCCUACUGCUGCUACUGCUGACCCUGACACCAGCUUUAAUAGUACAAAUCCUGUUGACCCAUUGGAUGAAAGCUUCCAGCCAGGAACAAGCUCAAGCUCAACAUCAUCUGACUCGGAAGAGGAAAAGACUGCACAGGGCUGGCAGGAGCCAAAGUGUAUAGUCUAUGAGUCUAAGGUCAUGGAGCUCAUGAAGUUCUACCAGACCAGCUGCCAUUGCCCAAAACAAGAUGAGGCUCACAAGCUGAAGAACAUUCAGGACCCUGCCUGGAACAUUCAGCCAACACAACAUUCAUAAUCAAUUAGGCUGACAUUGUAGUAGAAUAUGAAAUGCGUAGUAUGCUUAGAACUGCAUUGUGCUAUAGAUAUUGCUAGCUGUUUUACCUAUGUAUAUAAUUGUGUUUUACAUCCUUUUUCUGUACAAGUGACUGACUUGUGACUAAAUGAUUCCAGCUGCAUCAGAAACCAAUAAAGUGUUGAAUUUAA